rnacentral:rRNA from 1 species
GAUGAACGCUGGCGGUAUGCUUAACACAUGCAAGUCGAACGAAAGUUUUUAACUUUAGUGGCGAACGGGUGCGUAAUACGUGAGAAUCUGCCCUUAGGAGGAGAAUAACUGCUGGGAACGGCUGCUAAAUCUUCAUACGUCGAGAGAUGAAAUAGCUUAGGCUGCCUAAGGAUGAGCUCACGCCUGAUUAGCUAGUUGGUGAGGUAAUGGCUCACCAAGGCCACGAUCAGUAGCUGGUUUGAGAGAACGAUCAGCCACACUGGGACUGAGACACGGCCCAGACUCCUCCGGGAGGCAGCAGUGAGGAAUUUUCCGCAAUGGGCGAAAGCCUGACGGAGCAAUACCGCGUGAGGGAUGAAGGAUUUUGGUCUGUAAACCUCUUUUCUCAAGAAAGAAGUUCUGACGGUACUUGAGGAAUAAGCAUCGGCUAACUCCGUGCCAGCAGCCGCGGUAAUACGGGGGAUGCAAGCGUUAUCCGGAAUCAUUGGGCGUAAAGCGCCUGUAGGUUGUUUAAUAAGUCUGUUGUUAAAGACUAGGGCUUAACCCUAGAAAAGCAAUGGAAACUACUAGACUAGAGUAUGGCAGGGGUAGAGGGAAUUUCUAGUGUAGCGGUGAAAUGCGUAGAUAUUAGAAAGAACACCGGUGGCGAAAGCGCUCUACUGGACCAUUACUGACACUCAGAGGCGAAAGCUAGGGUAGCAAAAGGGAUUAGAUACCCCUGUAGUCCUAGCCGUAAACGAUGGAUACUACAUGUUGUGCAUUAUGUACAGUAUGGUAGCUAACGCGUUAAGUAUCCCGCCUGGGGAGUACGCUCGCAAGGGUGAAACUCAAAGGAAUUGACGGGGGCCCGCACAAGCGGUGGAGCAUGUGGUUUAAUUCGAUGCAACGCGAAGAACCUUACCAGGACUUGACAUACUACAAAUUCUUUGGAGACAAAGAAGUGCCUUCGGGAAUGUAGAUACAGGUGGUGCAUGGCUGUCGUCAGCUCGUGUCGUGAGAUGUUGGGUUAAGUCCCGCAACGAGCGCAACCCUUAUUUUUAGUUACCAAUUCGUUGGGUUCUCUAGAAAGACUGCCGGUGACAAACCGGAGGAAGGUGAGGAUGACGUCAAGUCAGCAUGCCCCUUAUGUCCUGGGCUACACACGUGCUACAAUGGUUAAGACAAAGAGUCGCGAGCUCGUAAGAGUCAGCUAAUCUCAUAAACUUAGCCCAAGUUCAGAUUGUAGGCUGCAACUCGCCUACAUGAAGUUGGAAUCGCUAGUAAUCGCUGGUCAGCCAUACAGCGGUGAAUCCGUUCCCGGGCCU